rnacentral:rRNA from 1 species
GAUGAACGCUGGCGGCGUGCCUAAUACAUGCAAGUCGAGCGAACAGACGAGGAGCUUGCUCCUCUGACGUUAGCGGCGGACGGGUGAGUAACACGUGGAUAACCUACCUAUAAGACUGGGAUAACUCCGGGAAACCGGAGCUAAUACCGGAUAAUAUAUUGAACCGCAUGGUUCAAUAGUGAAAGACGGUUUUGCUGUCACUUAUAGAUGGAUCCGCGCCGCAUUAGCUAGUUGGUAAGGUAACGGCUUACCAAGGCAACGAUGCGUAGCCGACCUGAGAGGGUGAUCGGCCACACUGGAACUGAGACACGGUCCAGACUCCUACGGGAGGCAGCAGUAGGGAAUCUUCCGCAAUGGGCGAAAGCUUGACGGAGCAACGCCGCGUGAGUGAUGAAGGUCUUCGGAUCGUAAAACUCUGUUAUUAGGGAACAACAAAUGUGUAAGUAACUAUGCACGUCUUGACGGUACCUAAUCAGAAAGCCACGGCUAACUACGUG